UACAGAGGCCUCGAGCGUUAGGCGGAAUCACUGGGCUUAAAGCGUGUGUAGGCGGACUUCUAAGUGCCUUGUGAAAUCCCACGGCUCACCCGUGGAACUGCUGGGCAUACUGGGAGUCUUGAGCCACCUAGGGGCGAGCGGAACAAAUGGUGGAGCGGUGAAAUGCGUAGAUAUCAUUUGGAACGCCAACGGAGAAAUCAGCUCGCUGGGGGUGUGCUGACGCUGAGACACGAAAGCCAGGGGAGCGAACGGG
rnacentral:rRNA from 1 species